rnacentral:pre_miRNA from 1 species
UUACUACUCCCUCCGUUCGGAAUUACUUGUCUCGGAAAUGGAUGUAUCUAGAACUAAACUACAUCUAGAUACAUCCAUUUCUGCGACAACUAAUUCCGAACGGAGGGAGUACUUG